rnacentral:rRNA from 1 species
GACGGAGGUCCCGAGCGUUGUGCGGAAUUAUUGGGCUUAAAGCGCGUGUAGGCGGAACGGUAAGUACCUUGUGAAAUCCCCGGACUCAAUCCGGGAACUGCUCGGUAUACUGCCGAUCUUGAGGCAGGUAGGGGUCACUGGAACCUUAGGUGGAGCGGUGAAAUGCGUAGAUAUCUAAGGGAACGCCUGUGGCGAAAGCGGGUGACUGGGCCUGUCCUGACGCUGAGACGCGAAAGCGUAGGGAGCAAACGGG